GCCGGAGUGGCGGAAUGGUAGACGCAGCGGACUUAAAAUCCGCGGCCCCAGCGGGCAUGUGGGUUCGAGUCCCACCUCCGGUA
rnacentral:tRNA from 2 species